GCGGGCGCGGGCGCGGGCGCGGGAGGGUGGGGGCCGCGGCGGGCGGCCGGCCUCCGUGAGCGACCCCCGGUGCCUUCGCCCGGCCCCUCUACGACAGCCCCCCAGAAAACGUGUGGUUUGUGAACGGGGCAGGAUUGUGACAGCUGAGGAAAUGCCUGAAGGAGUCUUCUGUGAAGGGUGAGAGAACAGCCAGGACACCCGGAAACUGUAGAAUUGGGCAAAUCAGCACUUACUCAGCAUAUGCCCCGCCUGUCGGUCUCAUUGACCUUGGUAGCAUCAUGGAGGUCGUGUGUUCAGGGAGAUAAACUGUUCUUGAAUUUCCACCAAGUGAUAAAGACAUAUGGGAAAGAGAUUUGAGAUGUGCGUAUCUGGAUUUUUUAAAAUCAUUUUUAUUGGGAAUUUAUUGUGCUCACUGCCAAAAAUAAGUCAUUGAUUUCUUUUUGGAGAAUACAUUCCUUUCUAUUUUAACAUUAAAAAAAUCACUAAACUUCCUUUUUCAACUUUUCUAGUAUUGCUUGUAUAGUCUACACUGACAAAUGGUUUUUUGGGUGACGUUUUUAAAGCUUGGGAAAUAAGAAGAAGGGCAGUAAUACCGGGAUCAAUUUGGCCUGGGAAAGCAGCUGUGCUCUAAGAAAUUUGAUAUUUACAAGUAUAAGAUUACAAAACAAAUUAAGUAGUGGUUAGUUACAUGAGAAUUGUGUAUUUUACAAAAAGGAUUCACUAAAAGUUGCCUUUAAAUAAUCCCUUUUAUGUGGUACUUACCAAACGUGACUUGAUUUAUAAAAAAUCAUUUGGCAUACAGCAAUUUAGGAAUAGGUUUUUGGCAUAAUGUAAGAUUUAUCAGUAUGUUUCUUGAAUUGUCCCUUUCUCAAAAAUGGGGACAAAAUAUUUAUGGGCUUCUUAAAUUUGAGCUUAUGCUCAAAUGUAUGCUACCUAUUAAUGUGUUAACUGAAUAGAAAACUUCUCAUUUGAUUUGUGCUGUGCCAUUUAAAGAGUACAUUGAAACCUAAUUAAAAUGCCAAAAUGUUAUGGUCAGGUUUGUGUGGAAGCCCAUCCAAGGUUAGUGUAGUUACUAAGGUAUCAAAAACACCUUGUCGUAAGAUACUGUUAGGAUGGUGGUCCCGUAGCAUAGGCCGACAAGUGGUUAUACCCAGACUUCAGCAAAAUCAAAAUAAAUAGAUUUGGUCUAAAAUCCACAUGCAGUGAAAACCAUUACCUUGAAUUUUUCUCUAGGUGCAAAUUAUUCCUCAGAAUUAAAGGCUUGAUUUUCCUAAGCUCUAAUUCUCUUUGGGUCACUUGUGAAAAAUUCUAUUUUGAUAAAAGAAGGACUGUGUACUCAUUAAACUUUCAAGGGAGCUUUUUUUUUUUUUUCUUUUUGUUAGUGCAGUUGGGUUUAUUUGGAAUCUCAGGAGAUACUGAAUGAGGUACUUUGAGAGUUUUCAUUCUGAAAUCAUCUUGCUUGGGCGAUGUAAAAACAAAAAAGGAAUGUUAAUAAGAGUAGAACUUGCUUAUGGGUUAGUUCAAACUUUAUGUUGGAGUACAGGGUGAAGGAAGGAACUGGGCACAAACUUUAUUAUGGAUAAUUAAUCAAAUUUACUUUGCCUUGUACUAUUCAUGUCUGGCUUCAUAAGAGUGACACUUCUCCCCAGUUUUAGAGAGGUCUUAUUUUUAGAGACGGAAUUUAAAGGAAAAGAGCUAAGCAUAUGGGAAUAAAAGUGUUCAAAGCAUCAAAGUGUUUGAGUGCUUUAAUAGUUUUUGUUUUGUUUUUGUGCAUUAGACAGAAAGCAAGAAAUUAUUUUCCUGCUGAAUAUGGGUUGAGAGCCCAACUUUGUGAUAAUGGGCACAGUUUUAUUCCUCCUAGAAUAAUUGAAUAUUAUAAAAAUUGAGGGAACAGCUUGAAUGAUGCCAUUGAUUUCUUAGUACAGGCUCUUAGUUCCUUUGUUGAACAAGUGAGUAAAAAUGAAGAUUGAGGAUGUGAUAUUAAAAGAAAUUUUUUCAAUUUAAAAAAAAAAUUCCAAGGUAUUGUCUCAAAGGAUUGCUAAUUUUAGAGCAUGGUGAGGUUAAAAAAAAAAACCUUAUUACUUGGAUAUAUUAGUAAUGAGGGCAUGUAAUUAAAAAAAUUUUUAAAUACAUGCAAAAAAGUUAAGUAGACUAUUUUGGAUUGAAAAUAUUUGUGCCAAGGGGUGUCUGAGUGGCUAAGUCGGUUGAACAUUGGACUCUUGAUUUCAUCUCAAGUCAUGAUCUCGGGUAGAUGGAGCCCUACCAUGCUGGGCCUGGGGCCUGCUUGAGAUUCUCUCUCUCCCUCUCCUUCUGCCCCUCUCCCCUCUCACUCUCUAAUAAUAAUAAUAAUAAUAAUAAAUUUUAAUUAGAACAUAAGGCUGAUUUAUGUUAUCAGUUUCAUUAUUUAACUCAGUAUCACUUCAAAAAUGUCAUUCAAUUUUUCUGUUCUCAGUUUUCUAUAAAAUACAAUUGGUAGUACAACAUACUUGAAAGUUGGGUUUUU